rnacentral:rRNA from 1 species
UGGACGCAAGUCUGACCGAGCAACGCCGCGUGAGUGAAGACGGUUUUCGGAUCGUAAAGCUCUGUUGUAGGGGAAGAACGUGUGUAAGAGUGGAAAGCUUACACAGUGACGGUACCCUACCAGAAAGGGACGGCUAACUACGUGCCAGCAGCCGCGGUAAUACGUAGGUCCCGAGCGUUGUCCGGAUUUAUUGGGCGUAAAGGGAGCGCAGGCGGUUUAGUAAGUCUGAAGUUAAAGGCAUUGGCUCAACCAAUGUAUGCUUUGGAAACUGUUAGACUUGAGUGCAGAAGGGGAGAGUGGAAUUCCAUGUGUAGCGGUGAAAUGCGUAGAUAUAUGGAGGAACACCGGUGGCGAAAGCGGCUCUCUGGUCUGUCACUGACGCUGAGGCUCGAAAGCGUGGGUAGCGAACAGGAUUAGAUACCCUGGUAGUCCACGCCGUAAACGCUGAGUGCUAGGUGUUAGGUCCUUUCCGGGACUUAGUGCCGACGCUAACGCAUUGAAGCACUCCGCCUGGGGGGUACGACCGCAAGGUUGAAACUCAAAGGAAUUGACGGGGGCCCGCACAAGCGGUGGAGCAUGUGGUUUAAUUCGAAGCAACGCGAAGAGCCUUACCAGGUCUUGACAUCCCGAUGCGCGCUCUAGAGAUAGAGUUUUUCUUCGGAGCAUCGGAGACAGGUGGUGCAUGGU